rnacentral:rRNA from 1 species
AGAAUCAACGCUGGCGGCGUGCCUAACACAUGCAAGUCGAACGAGAAAGUGGAGCAAUCCAUGAGUAAAGUGGCGCACGGGUGAGUAACACGUGACUAACCUACCCUUGAGUGGGGGAUAACCUCGGGAAACCGGGGCUAAUACCGCAUAAUAUCGAGAGAUCAAAGGAGCAAUUCGCUUAAGGAGGGGGUCGCGGCUGAUUAGCUAGUUGGUGAGGUAAUGGCUCACCAAGGCUAUGAUCUGUA